rnacentral:rRNA from 1 species
UACGAAGGGGGCUAGCGUUGCUCGGAAUCACUGGGCGUAAAGCGCACGUAGGCGGAUCUUUAAGUCAGGGGUGAAAUCCUGGAGCUCAACUCCAGAACUGCCUUUGAUACUGGGGAUCUCGAGUCCGGAAGAGGUGAGUGGAACUCCGAGUGUAGAGGUGAAAUUCGUAGAUAUUCGGAAGAACACCAGUGGCGAAGGCGGCUCUCUGGACCGAUACUGACGCUGAGGCGCGAAAGCGUGGGGAGCAAACAGG